UUCCGGUUGAUCCCGCCAGACCCGACUGCUAUCAGAAUAGGACUGAGCCAUGCGAGUCAACGUAGCAAUACGUGGCAUACGGCUCAGUAACACGUAGUCAACAUGCCCAGGGGACGUGGAUAACCUCGGGAAACUGAGGAUAAACCGCGAUAGACCAUAAUGUCUGGAAUGAUUUAUGGUUCAAAUCUAUAUGGCCCCUGGAUUGGACUGCGGCCGAUCAGGCUGUUGGUGAGGUAAUGGCCCACCAAACCUAAAACCGGUACGGGCUCUGAGAGGAGAAGCCCGGAGAUGGGCACUGAGACAAGGGCCCAGGCCCUAUGGGGCGCAGCAGGCGCGAAACCUCUGCAAUAAGCGAAAGCUUGACAGGGUUAUUCUGAGUGAUUUCCGCUAAGGAAGUCUUUUGGCACCUCUAAAAUGGUGCA
rnacentral:rRNA from 1 species